rnacentral:rRNA from 1 species
AGAGUUUGAUCCUGGCUCAGAACGAACGCUGGCGGCGUGCUUAAGACAUGCAAGUCGAACGGUAAGGCCGACUACCUUCGGGUAGUUGGUACACGAGUGGCGCACGGGUGAGUAACGCGUGGGUAAUCUGCCUUCGGGUUUGGGACAACUCCGGGAAACUGGAGCUAAUACCAAAUAAGACCACGAGGUCCUCGGACCUUGCGGAAAAAGGUGGCCUCUUCUUGAAAGCUAUCGCCGGUUGAUGAGCCCGCGUCCCAUUAGCUUGUUGGUGAGGUAAAAGCUCACCAAGGCAUCGAUGGGUAGCUGGUCUGAGAGGAUGAUCAGCCACACUGGAACUGAGACACGGUCCAGACUCCUACGGGAGGCAGCAGUCGGGAAUCUUGCACAAUGGGCGAAAGCCUGAUGCAGCAACGCCGCGUGAGGGAUGAAGGCCCUCGGGUCGUAAACCUCUGUCGGAAGGGAAGAAAGUAUUCCGGGCCAAUACCCCGGAGUAUCGACGGUACCUUCAAAGGAAGCGCCGGCUAACUCCGUGCCAGCAGCCGCGGUAAUACGGAGGGCGCGAGCGUUAUUCGGAAUCAUUGGGCGUAAAGCGUGUGUAGGCGGCUGGGCAAGUCGGAUGUGAAAGCCCGGGGCUCAACCCCGGAAUUGCAUUCGAAACUGCCCAGCUAGAGUCUCGGAGAGGAGGGCGGAAUUCCCGGGUGUAGAGGUGAAAUUCGUAGAUAUC